CUUCACCGAGCCCAGCCAGAGCGGGCGGCCCUCCUCGCGCCCCUGGCCGUAGGUGGCGAGCAGGGCCUCCGCCUC
rnacentral:antisense_RNA from 1 species